rnacentral:rRNA from 1 species
CAUGCAGUCGAGCGGACAGAAGGGAGCUUGCUCCCGGAUGUUAGCGGCGGACGGGUGAGUAACACGUGGGUAACCUGCCUGUAAGACUGGGAUAACUCCGGGAAACCGGAGCUAAUACCGGAUAGUUCCUUGAACCGCAUGGUUCAAGGAUGAAAGACGGUUUCGGCUGUCACUUACAGAUGGACCCGCGGCGCAUUAGCUAGUUGGUGGGGUAAUGGCUCACCAAGGCGACGAUGCGUAGCCGACCUGAGAGGGUGAUCGGCCACACUGGGACUGAGACACGGCCCAGACUCCUACGGGAGGCAGCAGUAGGGAAUCUUCCGCAAUGGACGAAAGUCUGACGGAGCAACGCCGCGUGAGUGAUGAAGGUUUUCGGAUCGUAAAGCUCUGUUGUUAGGGAAGAACAAGUGCGAGAGUAACUGCUCGCACCUUGACGGUACCUAACCAGAAAGCCACGGCUAACUACGUGCCAGCAGCCGCGGUAAUACGUAGGUGGCAAGCGUUGUCCGGAAUUAUUGGGCGUAAAGGGCUCGCAGGCGGUUUCUUAAGUCUGAUGUGAAAGCCCCCGGCUCAACCGGGGAGGGUCAUUGGAAACUGGGAAACUUGAGUGCAGAAGAGGAGAGUGGAAUUCCACGUGUAGCGGUGAAAUGCGUAGAGAUGUGGAGGAACACCAGUGGCGAAGGCGACUCUCUGGUCUGUAACUGACGCUGAGGAGCGAAAGCGUGGGGAGCGAACAGGAUUAGAUACCCUGGUAGUCCACGCCGUAAACGAUGAGUGCUAAGUGUUAGGGGGGUUUCCGCCCCUUAGUGCUGCAGCUAACGCAUUAAGCACUCCGCCUGGGGAGUACGGUCGCAAGAUUGAAACUAA